CUAUUUGUGGUGAUGAUAAUCAAUAUGUGGACUAGAGUUUCUGAUCUGGGUCUUCUUCCCAGAAACUGAAGACUAACCCUUGGCUGUCUGAGCAAUAUUAG